rnacentral:rRNA from 1 species
CGGUUCCUUAGUAGAGCGGCGAACGGGUGAGUAACACGUGGGUAAUCUGCCUCCGGGUGGGGAAUAACUCAGGGAAACUUGAGCUAAUUCCGCAUAACGUUGCAGACCAUAAGGUCUGUGACCAAAGCUGGGGACCCUUCGGGGCCUGGCGCCUGGAGAGGAGCCCGCGGCCAAUUAGCUAGUUGGUGAGGUAAUGGCCCACCCAAGGCUCCGAUUGGUAGCCGGCCUGAGAGGGCGGACCGGCCACACUGGAACUGAGACACGGUCCAGACUCCUACCGGGAGGCAGCAAGUCGAGGAAUUUUCGUCCAAUGGGGGGAAACCCUGAACGAGCCAACGCCCGCGUGGAGGACGAAGACCUUCGGGUUGUAAACUCCUGUCUGACGGGACGAAAGCUAUCGAGGUUAAUACCCUUGGUAGUUGACGGUACCGUAAGAGGAAGCCCCGGCUAACUUCGUGCCAGCAGCCGCGGUAAUACGUAGGGAGCGAGCGUUACCCGGAAUCACUGGGCGUAAAGAGCGCGUAGGCGGCUGGAUAAGUCUUUUGUGAAAGCUCCCGGCUUAACUGGGAGAGGUCAAGGGAUACUAUUCGGCUCGAGGGCAGUAGAGGAAGGCGGAAUUCCCGGUGUAGCGGUGAUAUGCGUAGAUAUCGGGAGGAACACCAGUGGCGAAAGCGGCCUUCUGGGCUGUGCCUGACGCUGAGGCGCGAGAGCGUGGGGAGCAAACUGGAUUAGAUACCCUGGUAGUC